GUAAUUGUUUUCACACAUAGCUACCUCCAAAAGUAUCUUUAUCAAAGAUAUUAUAGAAACCCUAACUCCCCCUCAAAACAUUUAGAAAGUCAAAAUCUAAAUCAGUAAGUCUGACCUCAAAGAAAUUGAAUCAAUAUAACACAAUCACUGUAAUCAUCAAUUUUAGCCAUUUUUGCCAUCUUGUAUUAAAUUAAAACCCCUUGCAUGCUAAAUUGUGGUAUUAAAAAAAGUUAAAUCCGUAGAAAUCACAUAACAGCUCCUACCAAUUACCCCCAUAGUCAGGAGCAUUUAAUUCUCUAAAUUGGAAAUGACAUCCUUCACUGGAGGAGCUCUGAUUUUGUUCUCCAUGUCCGCAUACCACUGGGUAAAUCCCCCUGUCCAAGUUCUGCUGGUUAAAAUGUAAAGGCAUACUUUCACGGACAUAUCAUACAAACAUCUAAUCACAAUCAAGCCAAUAGCAUUAGGCAGGAUAACAUCCGGCGCAUUCAUGUGGAUCAGCCCGGGAACAAACAUGGGAGUAACCCAGCCGAAGCACAUCAGCAAUUCUGCAGGUUUGACUUUGGUUCACGACAAACACCAGGAGUGCAGUUUUGUUAUGGAGAACAUGCCAAGACAAGGGAACAAGCUGCUGUGAGAGAUGAGGGUCUGCGCUACUGGAGCUGAGCAGCAUAACAAGGGUGUGGUGGCUCGGAGAAAGAAAUUUCCUCGGGACAGAACUAAUGUUUUAUCACUUACAACAGACGAACAGGACAGACUUUGACCCCAUAGCCAAAUAAGAAAGAAAGUCGACCAUUUUGAAGGUAGUUUCGAUUAUUCUGCUCUCCAGGAAUUAUGUCAAUUAUUAUAGGGAAAACGCAUAGUUCCCAGUCUCUGUCGACUUGUCAAGCAGGUUUUCAAUAAGAAACCGAAAAUAAAGUUCUGUGUAUUUUUCCCCCCACCAAGGAGUACAAGAGGGUCCAUUUUUGUCCACAGCGGAACUCCCUCCAGUUAAUUAAAGUACGCAAUGAGAGCAACAGGAAACCACGCAACAGGGAUUUGAGCUUUUUAACAUGCCAUUCUCCCAGUGAGGUCGUAAGUUCAGUCCCCCUCUCAGUACACUGCGGCACACUGUUGUAAUACAGCAACAUUGGCUUCAGGCAAUGUUCUGAGAAGUAGCUUUGAUAAUGAGCUCAGCACAGAUGUGCAGUUCCACCAGGUGUUUGAAAAUUGCUACUGGCUCAACUGAAGGCUGAGUGGGAGAUACCUGGGAAAGGGGUUCUCUGUAAUCUGGAAACUCGGACGUUCAAAAGUUGCAACACCAAGGAGGAGCUUCUGCAAGGAUUAUGGUUUGAAGGCAUUAAAGAAAAUCACUUACUAUUUGCUGGGACUUCCAUCGCGCUUCUUUUUUUCUACACAGCCGAAUCAUGAUAGCUUCGU